rnacentral:rRNA from 1 species
CCUACGGGAGGCAGCAGUGGGGAAUAUUGGGCAAUGGAGGAAACUCUGACCCAGCAACGCCGCGUGAAGGAUGAAGGUUUUCGGAUUGUAAACUUCUGUUGCGAGGGAUGAAGAAUGACGGUACCUCGUGAGGAAGCCCCGACAAACUACGUGCCAGCAGCCGCGGUAAUACGUAGGGAGCAAGCGUUGUCCGGAAUUACUGGGCGUAAAGGGCGCGUAGGUGGGCGCUUAAGUCAGGUGUGAAAACUCCGGGCUCAACCUGGAGACUGCACUUGAAACUGGGUGUCUUGAGGGCAGGAGAGGAAAGUGGAAUUCCUAGUGUAGCGGUGAAAUGCGUAGAUAUUAGGAGGAACACCAGUGGCGAAGGCGACUUUCUGGACUGUACCUGACGCUGAGGCGCGAAAGCGUGGGUAGCGAACGGGAUUAGAUACCCUUGUAGUC